AUGUCGAAGAGGCCUCGGACGGCGGCUUCAGACCCGUGGGACGACGACCAGGACAUGCCGCCGCAGAAGGCGCCCCCGGGGAUCCACAGGGUGAAGUUCGGGAUGGUGCAUAAGGUGGACUGGAGCCGCCUCAUCUGGGGCCUCGCCGAGAAGGAGAUUGUCGAUCUGGGCAAGGGGAGAAGGCCCGACUGGACAUGCCACUACGGCGCGUACCUGCAGAGGCUCGUCUCGGUGGAGAAUCCGGGCCUCUUCCAGCCGGCAUUGCCAUUGCUCGGCCUCGGUGGGGAUCAAAAUCUCCCUUCAGAGCUCCAGUCCAAGAUGCAGGAGGUCAGCGAGAUCCAAGCUGCUCGAUUUGAGAACCGAGCACCUUGA
rnacentral:rRNA from 1 species